CCUACGGGAGGCAGCAGCAGGGAAUCUUGGGCAAUGGGCGAAAGCCUGACCCAGCGACGUCGCGUGGGGGACGAAGGCCUUAGGGUUGUAAACCCCUUUUCCGAGGGAAGAUACAAGACGGUACCUCGGGAAUAAGCCCCGGCUAACUACGUGCCAGCAGCCGCGGUAAUACGUAGGGGGCAAGCGUUACCCGGAAUCACUGGGCGUAAAGUGCGCGUAGGCGGUUGGAUAAGUCUCUUGUGAAAGCUCCCGGCUCAACUGGGAGAGGUCAAGGGAUACUAUUCGACUAGAGGACAGCAGAGGUAAGCAGAAUUCCCGGUGUAGCGGUGGAAUGCGUAGAUAUCGGGAGGAACACCAGUGGCGAAAGCGGCUUACUGGGCUGUAUCUGACGCUGAGGCGCGAGAGCGUGGGGAGCAAACUGGAUUAGAUACCCAGGUAGUCCACGCCCUAAACGAUGGAUACUAGGUAUGGGGGGUAUUGACCCCCUCCGUGCCGUAGCUAACGCGUUAAG
rnacentral:rRNA from 1 species